GCCUCUGUGGUGUAGUGGUAGCACGCAUCGCCGCUAUGGAUGAAACGCGGGUUAAACUCCCGUUUGAGGUCA